rnacentral:rRNA from 1 species
AUACGGAGGAUGCGAGCGUUAUCCGGAUUUAUUGGGUUUAAAGGGAGCGUAGGCGGGAGCUUAAGUCAGCGGUUAAAUGGUGCGGCUCAACCGUGCCCUGCCGUUGAAACUGGGUUUCUUGAGAGUGCAAGAGGCGGAUGGAAUUCAUGGUGUAGCGGUGAAAUGCUUAGAUAUCAUGAAGAACUCCGAUUGCGAAGGCAGUCCGCUGGGGCACGUCUGACGCUGAUGCUCGAAGGUGCGGGAAUCAAACAGGAUUAGAUACCCUGGUAGUCCGCACGGUAAACGAUGAUUACCCGCUGUCGGCGGCAGACAGUCGGCGGCCAAGCGAAAGCGGUAAGUAAUCCACCUGGGGAGUACGCCGGCAACGGUGAAACUCAAAGGAAUUGACGGGG